UGGGGUAUCGCCAAGCGGUAAGGCACCGGUUUUUGAUACCGGCAUUCCCUGGUUCGAAUCCGUACCCCAGCCA
rnacentral:tRNA from 2 species